rnacentral:rRNA from 1 species
ACGAACGCUGGCGGCGUGCCUAAUACAUGCAAGUCGAACGCUUCUUUUUCCAUCGGAGCUUGCUCCACCGGAAAAAGAGGAGUGGCGAACGGGUGAGUAACACGUGGGUAACCUGCCCAUCAGAAGGGGAUAACACUUGGAAACAGGUGCUAAUACCGUAUAACAAUCGAAACCGCAUGGUUUUGAUUUGAAAGGCGCUUUCGGGUGUCGCUGAUGGAUGGACCCGCGGUGCAUUAGCUAGUUGGUGAGGUAACGGCUCACCAAGGCGACGAUGCAUAGCCGACCUGAGAGGGUGAUCGGCCACAUUGGGACUGAGACACGGCCCAAACUCCUACGGGAGGCAGCAGUAGGGAAUCUUCAGCAAUGGACGAAAGUCUGACCGAGCAACGCCGCGUGAGUGAAGAAGGUUUUCGGAUCGUAAAACUCUGUUGUUAGAGAAGAACAAGGAUGAGAGUAACUGUUCAUCCCUUGACGGUAUCUAACCAGAAAGCCACGGCUAACUACGUGCCAGCAGCCGCGGUAAUACGUAGGUGGCAAGCGUUGUCCGGAUUUAUUGGGCGUAAAGCGAGCGCAGGCGGUUUCUUAAGUCUGAUGUGAAAGCCCCCGGCUCAACCGGGGAGGGUCAUUGGAAACUGGGAGACUUGAGUGCAGAAGAGGAGAGUGGAAUUCCAUGUGUAGCGGUGAAAUGCGUAGAUAUAUGGAGGAACACCAGUGGCGAAGGCGGCUCUCUGGUCUGUAACUGACGCUGAGGCUCGAAAGCGUGGGGAGCAAACAGGAUUAGAUACCCUGGUAGUCCACGCCGUAAACGAUGAGUGCUAAGUGUUGGAGGGUUUCCGCCCUUCAGUGCUGCAGCUAACGCAUUAAGCACUCCGCCUGGGGAGUACGACCGCAAGGUUGAAACUCAAAGGAAUUGACGGGGGCCCGCACAAGCGGUGGAGCAUGUGGUUUAAUUCGAAGCAACGCGAAGAACCUUACCAGGUCUUGACAUCCUUUGACCACUCUAGAGAUAGAGCUUCCCCUUCGGGGGCAAAGUGACAGGUGGUGCAUGGUUGUCGUCAGCUCGUGUCGUGAGAUGUUGGGUUAAGUCCCGCAACGAGCGCAACCCUUAUUGUUAGUUGCCAUCAUUUAGUUGGGCACUCUAGCAAGACUGCCGGUGACAAACCGGAGGAAGGUGGGGAUGACGUCAAAUCAUCAUGCCCCUUAUGACCUGGGCUACACACGUGCUACAAUGGGAAGUACAACGAGUCGCAAAGUCGCGAGGCUAAGCUAAUCUCUUAAAGCUUCUCUCAGUUCGGAUUGUAGGCUGCAACUCGCCUACAUGAAGCCGGAAUCGCUAGUAAUCGCGGAUCAGCACGCCGCGGUGAAUACGUUCCCGGGCCUUGUACACACCGCCCGUCACACCACGAGAGUUUGUAACACCCGAAGUCGGUGAGGUAACCUUUUGGAGCCAGCCGCCUAAGGUGGGAUAGAUGAUUGGGGUG